GGCAGAGGUGCCGAGCGUUAGGCGGAAUCACUGGGCUUAAAGCGUGUGUAGGCGGAUCGUUAAGUACCUUGUGAAAUCCCACGGCUCAACCGUGGAACUGCUGGGUAUACUGGCGGUCUUGAGCCACCUAGGGGCGAGCGGAACAAGCGGUGGAGCGGUGAAAUGCGUAGAUAUCGCUUGGAACGCCAACGGUGAAAACAGCUCGCUGGGGGUGUGCUGACGCUGAGACACGAAAGCCAGGGGAGCGAACGGG
rnacentral:rRNA from 1 species